rnacentral:rRNA from 1 species
AAUGAACGUUAGCGGCGCGCCUGAUGCAUGCAAGUCGUACGGUUCCGGCGCAAGUCGGAAUAGUGGCAAACGGCUGAGUAACACGUAAGUAACCUGCCUCUAAGUGUGGGAUAACCUGCCGAAAGGCAAGCUAAUACCGCAUGUGCUGUACAGUUUAUUCUUUACAGUAAAGUUUCGGCGCUUAGAGAAGGGCUUGCGUCUGAUUAGCUAGUUGGUGUAGGUAACGGCCCACCAAGGCAAUGAUCAGUAGCUGGUCUAAGAGGACGACCAGCCAGACAGGGACUGAGACACGGCCCUGACUCCUACGGGAGGCAG